rnacentral:rRNA from 1 species
GACGAACGCUGGCGGCGUGCUUAACACAUGCAAGUCGAACGGUGAAGCGCCUUCCUUUUUGGUUGGUGUGGAUGAGUGGCGAACGGGUGAGUAACACGUGAGUAACCUGCCCCCUUCUUCUGGAUAACCGCAUGAAAGUGUGGCUAAUACGGGAUAUUCUGGGUCUGUCGCAUGAUGGGUCUGGGAAAGAUAUUGUUUCGGUGGGGGAUGGGCUCGCGGCCUAUCAGCUUGUUGGUGGGGUGAUGGCCUACCAAGGCGGUGACGGGUAGCCGGCCUGAGAGGGUGGACGGUCACACUGGGACUGAGACACGGCCCAGACUCCUACGGGAGGCAGCAGUGGGGAAUAUUGCACAAUGGGCGAAAGCCUGAUGCAGCGACGCCGCGUGAGGGAUGGAGGCCUUCGGGUUGUGAACAUCUUUCGCCAGUGAAGCAGGCCUGCCUAGUUUGUGGGUGGGUUGACGGUAGCUGGAUAAGAAGCGCCGGCUAACUACGUG